ensembl:lncRNA
CACGAGUCCGUGCUCGCGUACUUGAAAAUUGAGAAACGGCCCACGAGUCCGUGCUCGCGUUCUCGGCGGGUACGUACUCCCGUACGUUCUCGGCGAGUACGUACUCACCGAGAACGCGAGUACGUACUCGCGUACUCGGGCAUUGAUAAACGGCCUGUGUGUGGACAUUACUCAGUGUUACAGGACGAUAUCCGUCUGAAGCUGGACCUCAGGAAUAACAACGAGUUUAUCAUGGAGUUUUCGCCCGUGGCCACCACACAAGCUAAGGACCUACGUGUUUUCUCAACAUCGGUAGUUGUUCCUCCAAGUAGUCAGUUAGUCUUAAUUAUUAUGCGUAAUUAGUCUGCCUGGACCUGGUCCCUGGACGGCUGCUGUUCCACCAACUGCACAAACUGUUAUUCCGCCUGGUUUCCCAGUCUCAAGGAGUCGCUGAAAGGUUUCCCUAAUAGUUCCUGGUGAAUCAAAGCAGAACCAUAAAGGUUGCUGGACUGCAUGAUGGCCUUACCCCUGAGCAGUCAUCCUGUUAAAGGAGGAACCAGUUAGAAGCUGUUUUCAAAGUAGCUGAGCAGAUUUCAUCUCAACAGACAAAGCCGAUGCCAGAAGAUGUUUGGAGAAGAACUUCAGGCCGUGUACUGAAAAGUAGAUCAAAGCAGCUCGUGCUCUGUCUGCUUCCAUUCUGAUGGCAAGAAGAAGAAGAAGAAUGCUUCAGCGAAGUGGCGUUCAUGGUCUCAGUGGACAGUCAUGGUCACACACUGCAUGUGGUUUUAAAAGCAAGAUUGUUCACCACAACAAUGGAGAUGUGUAAUAUUAGUGCAGCUACGGUUUGUUCUUGAACAUCAGUUCUGUUUUCUACUUUGACCACUUAGACCAAAAAAGUGUUGUUUUCAGAUUCUUUCUUAUAAAUCUAUAAAGCACCUGCUCAUUUUUUAUUACAAUUAGUUUCACAUAAAUGUUAGUGUUUCCUUUAUGAUCUUUUAAUGCUUACACUACACUGUACAUGUCUACAUUAGAGACAUUUCUGUUACCUAUGUAUGAGACUGGGCUGCUUGACUACGAUUUGAAAUGGAUGCAAAAUCACACAGAUCGUGCUAUUGUUUGUUUU